CAUCGGGUCUUUCAAGAGAAGUUCGUGGUGCCGUUAAUUGAAGGUCUUCGUGAACUCAUUGUUGUUGUUUGGAACAGCAAUACUGUCACAUUCGAUGAUUUUAUCGGCAUCGGAAAGUAAGCACUACUAAUUCUCCUAUCUCUCGAUUUGUUAUUUAUUAUUUGGUAUUCAUUGAUUGUGGUUGAUUGAUUCUGUUAUUAGGGUUCAAUUGAACCAAGUUCUGUCUCAAGGUUUUGAUGAUUCUUCUUGGCCACUUCAAACUAAAUCUGGCAGAAUCGAUGGUCAGAGAUGUUUCCUUGUAUGAUUGCAAGAGCUUCCAAAAGUGAAGUGAUAUCUAGUGGAAUAAAUGGAACUAGAAAUGGUGCUCUUCAACUGUUAAAGAAGUGAAUUUUCUACGUUUUUGCAAGCAACAUGCAAAGGGGUAUCGGCAGUGGCUGAUGUGUUGAUUAAUACCUUCAAAGAAACUUCUUCUGGUGGUGCACCUACUUUUCAUAACUGUAGGAGGCUUCCUUCUGGUUGUGUGGUUCAAGAUAUGCCAAAUGGUUACUCUAAGACAGAAACUAUUGACUUGGCAGGACAAGGCCCUGUGGCAGACACUACAUUCUCUCUCAUUACAUCUCCAUACCACGUCCCUCUCCUUUUCUCUUUCCUUUGCCCAACCCUAGUGUACCGCGGUCUCCUUUUCCACCCUAUACAUGACCAUAUGACUUUUUAAUAACUACUGGAGGAAGUGUUUUGUUGAG